UCCCGUCGAGACAGGGAAAGAAAAGAGUGAGGGUUUGGAAGCCAUAGGAGAAAAAUCAUAAUUUCCUUGAUUCUCAAUCGUUUUUCUUGAUUCCGAAGCCUAAAUCACUCUAAAUCUUCUCCUCUUUCAUAAUCCAAGCUUAGUUUUGAGUGGGAGGCUUUGUGGAGAGAGAUUUCACUCUCCAAAAUUUCAACCCAUAUGAAAAGUGGAGGAGUUUGGUAGCUUUUACCUCCAUGGGAGCUUGAGGAACACCCAUCCUAUUGUUGUGUGAUCAUCUGUGAUACGUUUUCACUCUCUUUCACAUGAUUCCUUAAGAUUUUCAUGAGUUUAGGUUAUGGUGAAUAGUGUUGUUAGGGUUUUAUGAUAACGUGAGUAGAUUGGCUAUAUUCUAAGAGCAAUGAAGCUUGGUGUAUGUUGUGAAAAAUGCUAGGAAUGAUAUUUAAUCGGUGAAAAUGAGUUUAGAUGGUCAUAUGAUUAUGCUUUGAAAAUUGCAAGAUUAUAUACUUGAUUGUGAAUUUGCUUGCAUUGGUAAACAACGGGUUGGUUUGGUGGGAUAUUGAUUGUGUUUCAUGUGAUGGCUAGGAUUGAGGCAAUUGGACCACCCUUGAGUGACCAACCAUUGGAGGGAGCUAUGGAGCUUGAUUAGCUCAUUGGAAUAGGUGGUUGUGUGUGAAGUUGAUUAUUGUAAUUGGUGGCAAAACUUGUUGGUGAACAAAGGUUGAACUGAAGCUUUGAGGUAAAGAUGUUGCAGGAGCCUCCGGUGGCAAGUGGCCAUAUUUGGAUUAGUAGAUGCAUGAAGAUGUUGCAUUCUUUUGGAUUAUACAUGACAUGUAGUAGUACCAUGUAUAGGAUUUACAUUUGAAAGCCAAUUGCUAUAUGUAUGUCAUCUUCUAUUUUGAUGGACUUAGCCUAUGCUUAUCUUCUUUGGUAUCUCUUUUGUUGAUGGGAACUAAAGAUUUGAUCAUAGUGUUUUGUAGCUAAGUCACAUGAUUUUGUAAUUAAGACAUGUUGCAAUGAUGUAAUGUUGUAAU